AGAGUUUGAUCCUGGCUCAGGAUGAACGCUGGCGGCGUGCUUAACACAUGCAAGUCGAACGGUGGUGGCAAUAUCACAGUGGCGCACGGGUGAGGAACACGUAGCUUAUCUGCCCCGAAGUGUGGGAUAACGCUCCGAAAGGAGUGCUAAUACCGCAUAAGCUCCCGAGCUAUAGAGGCUUGAGAGAAAAGGCGCAAGUCGCUUUGGGAGGAGGCUGCGGCCCAUCAGGUAGUUGGUGCGGUAACGGCGCACCAAGCCAACGACGGGUAGGGGACCUGAGAGGGUGAUCCCCCACACUGGGACUGAGACACGGCCCAGACUCCUACGGGAGGCAGCAGUGAGGAAUAUUGCCCAAUGGAGGAAACUCUGAGGCAGCGACGCCGCGUGGGUGAUGAAGGCCUUCGGGUCGUAAAGCCCUUUUCUGCGUGACGAGGCAAAGGACGGUAGCGCAGGAAAAAGUCUCGGCUACUACGUGCCAGCAGCCGCGGUA
rnacentral:rRNA from 1 species